AGCAGCCGCGGUAAUUCCAGCUCCAAUAGCGUAUAUUAAAGUUGUUGCAGUUAAAAAGCUCGUAGUUGAAUUUCGGGAUUGGCGCAUCGGUCGUGCCUCACGGGGUAUGAACUGGUGCAGUCAAUUUCUCACCUUCUGGAGAACCGCGAUGUCCUUAAUUGGAUGCCGCGGGGAACCAGGACCUUUACUUUGAAAAAUUAGAGUGUUUAAAGUAGGCAUUUUUGCUUGAAUACAUUAGCAUGGAAUAAUAAAAUAGGACGGCAUGGUUCUAUUUUGUUGGUUUCUAGGACCACCGUAAUGAUUAAUAGGGAUAGUUGGGGGCAUUAGUAUUCAAUUGUCAGAGGUGAAAUUCUUGGAUUUAUUGAAGACUAACUACUGCGAAAGCAUUUGCCAAGGAUGUUUUCAUUAAUCAAGAACGAAAGUUAGGGGAUCGAAGACGAUCAGAUACCGUCGUAGUCUUAACCAUAAACUAUGCCGACUAGGAAUCAGGCGAUGUUAAUUUUUAAUGACUCGU
rnacentral:rRNA from 1 species